UACAGAGGUCCCAAGCGUUGUUCGGAUUCACUGGGCGUAAAGGGUGCGUAGGUGGUGAGGUAAGUCGGAUGUGAAAUCUCCGGGCUCAACCCGGAAAUGGCAUUGGAAACUACCUUGCUUGAGGAUUUGAGGGGGGAUUGGAAUACUCGGUGUAGCAGUGAAAUGCGUAGAUAUCAAGUGGAACACCAGUGGCGAAGGCGAAUCCCUGGAAAAUACCUGACACUGAGGCACGAAAGCUAGGGGAGCAAACAGG
rnacentral:rRNA from 1 species